CUACCUCAAUUUGUUACUUUUGUAAUGAAAUUGGACUUGGGUGUUGCUGUGUACGGCUCACCUUAAAUACAUUAGUGAUGAGUUCUGAUCAACAUCAAUACAUCAUAAGCAUUUGUUGUGUUGAGGGUCAGACCAUGGCUUCUAACACUUAUGAC
rnacentral:misc_RNA from 1 species